rnacentral:snoRNA from 1 species
UUGCAAUGAUGAGACGUUUCCUUCUGGACUUGAUAAGUGGCAGCAAAAAUAUCUGAUUUAAUGAGCCUGAGCA